CUGGCUGCAAGGCCCCUUGGAGGAUUGAUCCCUCUUGAGGGCAGUUUUAAAAUCUCCUUUCCUGCCUGAACAAAGCCUGCUGGGAGCCUCUGUGUUGUUGAGCCAUGCUCAUUAGGAUGCUUUGAGAAAAGAGCUCCUUGAGGACCCUGCCCUGAUACUCCCCUGCAGAAGGCAGAUCUGCCCUGAAUGGGAACAGAGGACACCAUAAAUAACAACUGGGGCACUGCUAGGGCCAUCUGAGCAGAGGGCAGUGCCUGCUGAAGCCCAUCCUCUGUAGGUGCCCUUGCUUGUCCUUGUCCUUUGAGUGUAUCCAGUAUGAAGAGGGAUGCUGCUCCUGGAACUCCUGAGUGCUCCUGCUCUGGUGCUGCUGUGUGGUGGCUGCAAGAAGUGCUGGGGCUAUUUUCAAGUGAACUAGUUUAGGGAGCUACUUAGCUGGGCUCCUCAUAGGUGUCUGUCUGUCCCUGUCUGUCCCAUCCUGGAUUUUUGAAGAAUUUUUGAUCCUACUGAUAACAAUAAAUGCAGUUAUUUAUUGAGGGUGAAGCUCAGUGUCAGUCAGCACCAGUCCGUGCU